UGCACCCUGUUACCAGGCAGUGGGUUCUGCUCAGCCAUUGGGCAGCGCAGCAGUGGGCCCUGCCCACAAGCAACCAACGGUUAAGAAACCACAGUUGGUGAGGGGAUUCAGACAACAGUGGAGUGGUGGUCGUGAGGUGGAGAAUGAGUUUGCUGACUACAGAUUUUGGGGCCGCUCAGCCUCCAUACUCUGGCGACCAAUUCUGAGCUCUGUCAUCAAGGAGCACGUGAACUGGAGAGCAGGAAGUGCAGCUUCCUGUGGGAAACCGCGGGGCCAAGCUCUGAGGAGAGCUGCUGUGUCACUUCCGCUCUGAAGUAAGAACCCUUGGCCUAGUUGAGAAAAAACACAGAAAAGCUGGCUCUGAAGAUUCGAAUUCAGGUUGAUCCAGUCUACUUCCCACACUAGGUCCCAUGGAUCUAAGGCUCACUCUAGGACUCAGAUAUUUGGUAACUCAAGGACCUGGGACUGAAAACUGAGCAAGCCAGGAAGCUUAUGGGGAUCAGAACCAACUUUGUCAUCUGGGCAAAUUUUGCUUCUAGAAAGGGAUCAUAUUCUAGUGGCUCACCUACUCUCAGACUUGAGCGAUUCAACUCUGGUUGAUUCUUCCUACCAACUUAUAUACCACUCAGCAUCUUGUGUCUCAGAUCCGGAGGCUGGAAGUCCAAGAUCAGGGAGUCAAUAUGGUCAUAUUCUGAUCAACAGGUUGGACUGCCACAGCUUCAUGAAUGCAGACAGGAGGCACGAGAUUCCUGAGUCAGAAACUGUGAACAGUCUAUCACUUACCCCAAAGCAGGAAAUCCAGUCUCCCCCUAGAUAAUCUUGAGAAGUUCCUGGAAUUGUCAUAGCCACUGCUCCAAGAAAUGAGUUGUCUCCAUGGCUACUGCAUGCAUUUUAGCACUUUUCUCUUUCUUCUUUUGCUCACUGAGUAUCGCAGCUGUUGCUCUUCCCCAAAUGUCAACUGUGCUACCAAUACCCACUGGAGACACACUGCUCCUGCUACUGGUACAGAGUCCCACAGCGGCCCCGGAGCUGACCUUCGUGCUGACCUCUGCACCAACUACUGAUGGCUGAUAGUGUUGAUGACCACAGCCUAGCCCAAGAGUACUCCCAAAUUUGCCAUCCCUCACCUCUAUCUUCCCUAAUCAGCAUAAAUGUUAUCUCUUACCUGAGUUUUCAGAUUUUUGUGUCCCACAUUAUUUCCCUUCUCUCUGUCCUAGUCUGUCUGUCUCUUUUUUUUCAUUGUCUUCCUUGCAUGUUAAGACACAGGAAAAUGCAGGUGAAAAGUCAAGGCGGAUAUUUACCUCUUGGACCUUAUCUUAGGGGAGGAGAGACAGAGCAUACAUACAUACAUAAUCAUUACCUGUGAAGUAAAUAAAGCUGUUUAUUUGUUAGAAAGUUAUAGGUAUAGUGUCUGCUUUACACAGUCUAGUCAGGAAAGCCUUCCCUGAGACAUGAAGGACAAGAGGAGUUAAUAAUGCAUAGAGUAAAUAUUCCAUUUAGAGGCAAUGAUAAAUUUAAAUUCUUUAGGCAAUAGAGAGCUAAGUAUAUUUAAGUAUACUGAAGAACUGAAAUGAAGCUAAUCUAUCACUGAAACUACAUGACUUGACUUGAAUUUAAAAUAAGUUUCUCCCCCCCUUGGUAUUCACUUACACAUGUACGUAGGCCCUACUGCCUUCUUGAAAUGUCCUAAAUAUACCUACAUCUUAUAGUGAAUAUGAUUUAGUCUCAAUUGAAGUCUUCUCUACAGGCCAAAAUAUGCAGUAAUUAAAAAUCCAAGAAAUUCCCCAAGAUAUGCAAAUCCCCAAAACCUAAGAUCAGGUCAGACUUUUAAAAU